ensembl:lncRNA
AAAUUCUGUAAUUUCAAUUUUGAGACAGUUAAGAGGAGGAUUUGUUUUAAAUACAUGUUUUUCCACAUUUUUGGAAACAUUAUAAAAUGUUGUAUUUUUCAUACCCCACACCCUUUUAUAUCAGGACAUUCCCCCUUUCUUCUUCCCCUCAGAAAAUUCUGUAAGAUUAAGGGUCAUAUAAGGGCUCUUCGCCCUGAAGCCCAUGAGAGAAAAAGAACCUCAUAAACCACAGAAAGAAAUAUCCAUGGGGCACUCAGGUAGCCUAAAAGGUCUGACAACAGCAGGCCCUACCCUACGAACAAAGCAGGGACCCCCACGGGCACGCAGCCAUCUCCUGCACUGCAGCUCUGCUCUCUUCUUUGAUUGGUUUUAGCGGUGACGCCCCCUCUGAAUGCCUCGCUCGGAUUGGCCUACUUCUUGGAUCAGACUGGACGGUGGCCAGAGGAGGACAAGAGAGUUCCAUACGGUCUGGAGGGACGAUUUGGGUCACAUCUGAGAAGGAGUUGCACAUCAACAAGCGUCCAGGCUCCAGGGACAUGGCGGCGGCCUCUGUGAUGUCGGUGCUGCUGAUGGCGACUGAGAGGAACCGGUGGCAGCGAGUCCAGAGCCUGCUGCUGCUGCUGCCGCCCAGGCAACGAUCCAAAAGAUACUUCUAGCACUUGGAUACUACCUGGGAGCAACUUGUCAUGCCUGCAUUGUAUGGAACAAGUGUUCAAAAUAAAAUGCAAAAACUGUAAGCUGAUGGAAGAGGCAGCACACAACAUCCCUGGCACUCCAGGGAGAACAUUUGAUGUAGAAGAUAUCUUUGUUGUGUCCCUUUCUGCCUUAAUGCCAAUCAACAUGCUGAAGUCCUCAAAAAGUUCCUGAGAGAUCCAUUUCAAAUUCUAGUCAAGAAAGAACUGAUCAUUGAAAGGUGCUGACAGAAAGAAAGAGGCAUUACCAAGAGGGAACUCCUUGAUAAGAAUUGGAAGCGGGAGUCAAUUUGGGAGGAAAGCUGUGGCCAUAAACAUUGAAGAAGACAAGAAGAAUCUUUAUGACACUGAGACUUUCUACCACAUUACGGUGGAGGAAAUGCCAAAGACUGUGGCUGACCUAAUUUAAUCCCUGGAAUGAAAUGGUUAUGAAUGUAGUGCUUGCUAUUGCUGAACAGGCAAUCACAUUGUGCAUUGUGUUUCUUUUGGGGAUAAUAUGUGAAACUUGUCUCAGUGCUCACAACAGAUUAAAAAUACAGAUUUUGAUAACAAAGCAACUUCAGACAUGAUUUCAUGUGAGGGUAGUCAUUGGCUUUAUCUUCUUAUUUCCUAGUUCUCUACACAUGGUUGUAUUGAGCAUUUGCCAUCAUUUAAUAAUAUGGCCUGAAAGAUAUAAAAGCAGCUAUUUAUAAAGUUUGUCUGCCUUUAUUGUAUUAGUCACUAACUGAAUAGAGCUAACUUUAAAAUGAUUUUUUAAGAAAAUAUUUAAAUUUAUUUUGUUUGGUAUCAUUUUUUCCAGUAAGGCAUUUUAUUAGCAGUUAGUUGAAUGUUUAUUGAAUGUUCAAUAAAUUACAGUGAAGUAUUUUUUCUCU